rnacentral:rRNA from 1 species
CAGAUUGAACGCUGGCGGAAUGCUUUACACAUGCAAGUCGAACGGCAGCACGGGUGCUUGCACCUGGUGGCGAGUGGCGAACGGGUGAGUAACACAUCGGAACGUACCCUAUUGUGGGGGAUAACACAGCGAAAGUUGUGCUAAUACCGCAUAAGACCUGAGGGGGAAAGCAGGGGAUCGCAAGACCUUGCGCGAUAGGAGCGGCCGAUGGCGGAUUAGCUAGUUGGUGGGGUAAAGGCUCACCAAGGCGACGAUCCGUAGCGGGUCUGAGAGGAUGAUCCGCCACACUGGGACUGAGACACGGCCCAGACUCCUACGGGAGGCAGCAGUGGGGAAUUUUGGACAAUGGGGGCAACCCUGAUCCAGCCAUUCCGCGUGGGUGAAGAAGGCCUUCGGGUUGUAAAGCCCUUUCGGCCGGAGCGAAACGGCGGGCUCUAACAGAGUCUGUUAAUGACGGUACCGGCAGAAGAAGCACCGGCUAACUACGUGCCAGCAGCCGCGGUAAUACGUAGGGUGCGAGCGUUAAUCGGAAUUACUGGGCGUAAAGCGUGCGCAGGCGGUGUUGUAAGACAGAUGUGAAAUCCCCGGGCUUAACCUGGGAACUGCAUUUGUGACUGCAAUGCUAGAGUGCGUCAGAGGGGGGUGGAAUUCCACGUGUAGCAGUGAAAUGCGUAGAGAUGUGGAGGAACACCGAUGGCGAAGGCAGCCCCCUGGGAUGACACUGACGCUCAUGCACNAAAGCGUGGGGAGCAAACAGGAUUAGAUACCNUGGUAUUCCACGCCCUAAACGAUGUCAACUGGUUGUNGGGGGAA